AUGGAUUCUCAGGCUCUAGUUGCUCCCCAGAAAAGCCUCAGCAAGUCAUUUUACCCUUUGCCUCUCACUCUACAUGGGUCUUUUCGAGAAUAUCUUAAUGAAAUAUUUCCUCAUCUCUGCGGACAAAGAGAUUUUUAUUGUGGGGGUGUCCCAUUAUUUUCCAUCUCAGGGACUCCUCCUUCAUUGUUUCCUUUUCUCUUCUGCUUCUCUUUCAUGGCUGCGCGUUUCUUCUUCCAGUGUUGCGGGCUAGGUCAGCAGCUGCAGGAGAACUUGAUUAGUGCCUUGCCUCAGUGCAGAUGCAUUUCCCUGACAGCAUCGAUCCUGGGUGCUUUCGCUUUGCAGGCAGCUCCACAGAGGAGGAGCUUGUACUGCAAAGGAGGUGGACUGUUGUCUGUUCAAGGCUCCAGAUGUGACCAGCCACUGCAAAAUGGUAAGUUGUUUAUCAGCAUUCUACACUGGGAACUGGCACCUGUAAUUUUACUCUUAUUUUGCAUCAGCAUUAAUAAAACACUAAAAAAUGACCAAGCGAAGGUUUUGUGUAAUCACACACACACCUUCAGGGUGAGUUGCCCUGUCGGCUGUCUGUCGUCCUUAAGGUGCCAGCUACAGCAAGCAGCUUCCUUCUCUGUUGUCUGCGUAGCUGCUAUGAGCCUGCUUGGACAGGGAGUUCUGCUGAUAGCUGGACCUGGAAAAUAAUGGUGAAAUGUUGUUCUGGCAGCUUUUAAAGAAUCGAUUGUUGAUCCAUUUUGAUAAUGCAAAUACAAUCUUUUUCUUUCAUUCUUUUCCCUUCUUUUCUUUCUUCCCCCUUAUUCCUUGUUAAUAGUUGUCUGCAGCAAAAAAAAAAAAAAAAAAAAAAAAAAAAAAAGCUCCUUGUCCACCACAGUCUGGAAUGAAGAUUUAAGAAAUAAACAUAUUUGAAUCAUGUGACAACAAUUAACCACUUUGUUGAGCCAGAGAUUCCACUGCACCUUUACCUCCUCUUUUUAACCCCAGGGCUCUGUUCCAUCCUGCCUACGGUUUUUCUAGCUGCCUGCUUCAGCCUGCUCCCAUAUUACCAGUGGUUUAAGAAAUAUGACAAGCUACCUUCUGCUUUCUGGCACUUUAACAACGCAGAUUCUUGGAACUUAACUUUUGGUUGACUGCUGAUUUCUAACCCUAUAUGGCAACAGACUGUAAUGUGUUACUGAUAAAAAGUCAACCCAGGAUAGAAGUUUGCUUUUUUAAAAAGUUUCUUUUCUUUGAUCCUGUAAAAUGAUUUCCUACUCAGAUGCCUGUAAACAGGUCACUUUUUAAAAAAUCUUUUUCUGCAAGGUCUUUACAUACCUGUUAAAGGGAGACAAAUGUGGAAACUAAGGAGCAGAGGGUUUAAGGGAGUCAAGCUGGGAUCACAGAGUGAGUCACUUCCAAGUUCAAGUUGGGACUCAGUGUUCCCGACGGGUUAAUGGUCAGCUCAAUAUGUUUGAUAGUACUUUGGGGGUUAAAGCUUGAUAAAAUUCUCCUUUCUGGUUUAACUUGGGUUUUGACUAGUUUGGUUUCAGUUUCUUAUUCAUAGCAAUUAAACGUGUAUUGAUACGUUAAAAUAACCCCAAGACCAAAGACAGUCUAGAUAAGGUCAAGCAGGCUCUCUAAUUGCUGUUCCCUGAAGCUUAGAGUGCUAAGAGUACACAGCAAAACCUAGUGCUAUCUUUAUUUCCCUGAGUUAGUUCUUAAAUUGUCUUUAGAGUCAGUGAUGGUCAAAAUGUUUAUAUUCAUCCAAAUAACUUACUGUAAAACAAAUCUUACACCUAGCAGUUCACCCAUUGAUCAAUGUUAGGAAAGUCUCUUAUCAAAUAUGCAGAAAGGCUGUGAAAUGUGUAGGUACGUGGAAGGACAAAGAGAUGGGGAGUGGUUAUAUCCCUGCUCUAAAGGAAGUGAGAUCUCAUGCAUGACCCACCAGAUUAGAGUGACCAUGGUGCCCUAAUGAGGGCCAUAUCAGGACCUAUUAAUGUUUCAUAACUAUGGGAUCCAUUGUUAAGAGAGGCCUCUUCAACAGAGUUUGCGGGUUUGACCCCAGUCAUCUGGAUGUCAAUUCAUUUUAAAAGGCUACUUUUUAAAAUUGUGGAAAACCUUCAUCAGAAGUCUCAAAGGUAAGUUCUUUAAUGGAAAAUAUUUUCUAUUAUUUAUUUUUGUUUUAUUUAAAUUAAUUGACUAAUUUUAAAGGAAUAAGGUGAUACUCUUAAAAGCUGGACCCAAAAGAUCCUUGUG
rnacentral:lncRNA from 1 species